CCCUUAGAUGUUCUGGGCCGCACGCGCGCUACACUGACGAUGGCAACGAGUUUUUCCUUCGCCGAAAGGUGUGGGUAAUCUUUUGAAACAUCGUCGUGCUGGGGAUAGAUCAUUGCAAUUUUUGAUCUUGAACGAGGAAUUCCUAGUAAGGGCGAGUCAUCAGCUCGCGUUGAUUACGUCCCUGCCCUUUGUACACACCGCCCGUCGCUACUACCGAUUGAAUGGUUUAGUGAGGACUCCUGAUUGGCGCCGCCGCCCCGGCAACGGAGCAGCGGACUGCCGAAAAGUUGUUCAAACUUGAUCAUUUAGAGGAAGUAAAAGUCGUAACA
rnacentral:rRNA from 1 species